AGGUGCUGCAUGGCUGUCGUCAGCUCGUGUCGUGAGAUGUCGGGUUAAGUCCCUUAACGAGCGAAACCCUUAUCCCUAGUUGCCAGCGAGUAAUGUCGGGGACUCUAGGGAGACUGCCGGUGUUAAACCGGAGGAAGGUGGGGAUGACGUCAAGUCCUCAUGGCCUUUAUGACCAGGGCUGCACACGUCCUACAAUGGCGCGUACAAAGGGAAGCAAACCCGCGAGGGGGAGCAAAUCCCAGAAAGCGCGCCUUAGUUCGGAUUGCAGGCUGAAACCCGCCUGCAUGAAGUUGGAAUCGCUAGUAAUCGCGGGUCAGCAUACCGCGGUGAAUAUGUUCCUGAGCCUUGUACACACCGCCCGUCAAG
rnacentral:rRNA from 1 species